AGGAGAGUAAGAGGGAGGGGAUCAGAGAUAGGGAGGAGAAAUCAAUCAGCUUGCUUUGCUUUGUCAUCAGUUCUGUACUGACAAGAAGGGGCGGGUGGAAAGCACUGCUUUAAAUUGGGGGGGAGGGAGCCUGUACCCAGCUCCCCCACAAUCACUUUGCAUGUGGCCAGAGAGCCCUCUCCGUCUUGGACUUGACUCCACACAAGGAUGUAGUUCUCUGGGCGAUCAGUCUGUUAAACCAUCUCUCUGCUCUGCCUCUCGCAGAUACUACGGAGAUCAGGGCCCCUUUGUGCAAGGUGCUGCACACUACGUAGUGAGAGACAGUAGCUCUACUGAAGAGUUUACAGACUAAAUUGGCAAGACAGACCAAGGAGGGAAGUGACUUGCACAGGAUCACACAGCAGCCUUGUCUCAGGAGACCUCUGCUUUUAGCACCCGGCAUCCAAGAGCGCUUUGAAGGCUGCACUCCCCCUCUAUCUUCUUCACGCAGCACAGGCAUCAGCAACAACAGCAAGUGGAGCCCUAGCAUGCACCGGGCCUUCUCCUUCGCUUUCUGGGCCUCACCCCGACCUCCUUUGAUAUUUGUGCCUCACCGUUCAUUCCAUUUGCCCU